UACGUAGGUGGCAAGCGUUGUCCGGAUUUACUGGGCGUAAAGAGCGCGCAGGCGGUCGUUCAAGUCGAGUGUGAAAGCCCCCGGCUCAACUGGGGAGGGUCACUCGAUACUGAUCGACUCGAAGGCAGAAGAGGGAAGCGGAAUUCCCGGUGUAGUGGUGAAAUGUGUAGAUAUCGGGAGGAACACCAGUGGCGAAGGCGGCUUUCUGGUCUGCUCUUGACGCUGAGGCGCGAAAGCUAGGGUAGCAAACGGGG
rnacentral:rRNA from 1 species